rnacentral:rRNA from 1 species
GACGAACGCUGGCGGCGUGCUUAACACAUGCAAGUCGAACGGAAAGGCCUUUUCGGAGGUACUCGAGUGGCGAACGGGUGAGUAACACGUGGGUGAUCUGCCCUGCACUCUGGGAUAAGCCUGGGAAACUGGGUCUAAUACCGGAUAGGACCGCACUUUAGUGUGUGUGGUGGAAAGUUUUUUCGGUGUAGGAUGAGCCCGCGGCCUAUCAGCUUGUUGGUGGGGUAAUGGCCUACCAAGGCGGCGACGGGUAGCCGGACUGAGAGGUUGGUCGGCCACAUUGGGACUGAGGUACGGCCCAGACUCCUACGGGAGGCAGCAGUGGGGAAUAUUGCACAAUGGGCGCCAGCCUGAUGCAGCGACGCCGCGUGGGGGAUGACGGCCUUCGGGUUGUAAACUCCUUUCGCCAGGGACGAAGCGUUUUGUGACGGUACCUGGAGAAGAAGCACCGGCUAACUACGUG